GAGGCUUCUUUUCUCCAGGCUAAAACCCCCCAGCUCCCUCUGACAUUCCACACAGGACUUGUGCUCCAGACCCUUCCCCAGCUCUAUUGUCCUUCUCUGAACACACUCCAGAGCCUCAAUGUCUUUCUUGAACUCACAAGCCCAAAACUGGACACAAGAUUCAAGGUGUGGCUCUCCAGCGCUGAGUAGAGCAGAACAAUCACUGAUCUUGCUGGCCACACUAUCCUUGACCCAAGCCAGGCUGCUGCUGGCCUUCUUGGCCACCUGGGCUCACUCCUGGCCCACACUCAGCCAGUUUGUGGAACAGCAUCCCCAGGUCCUUUUCUGCCAGGCAGCUUUCCGGCUGCUCUGCCCUCAGCCUGUAGCAUUGUCUGGGGUUGCUGUGACCCAAGUGCAGGACUUGACUCUUUACCUUAUUGAACCUCAGCCCAUCAAUCCAGCCUGUCCAGAUCCCCCUGCAGAACCUUCCUACCCUCCUGGAGAUCAGUGCUCCCACUCACCUUGCCAGCACCUGCAAGCUUGCUGAGGGUGCACUCAAUCCCCUCAUCCAGGUCACUGAUAAAAAGACACGAUAAGAAGACAUGAUAAAAAGAUGGGACCCAGUCCUGAGCCCUGGAGAACCUCUUGAGACUGGCCAACAGCUGGAUGUGGCACCAUUCCCCUCCACCCUCUGGGGCCAGAUAUCCAGACUGGCUUUUUAUUCAGCAGAGUGCACCAGUCCAAACCAUGGGACUGCCAGCUUUUCCAGGAGAAGGCCAUGGGAGACACUAUCUUUGAAAAGCCUUGCUGCAGUCCAGGAUGAAAAUCUGCUGCAAGGGCUUUGUGGUUGUAUUCCUUUUCCUGUGGCAACAUCAACAUUCAACCACUUGCCACAAAACUAAAGAAAGUCAACAGCGUUUCUCUUAUUCAACCAUCUCACCACAACUCCAGCAAGUGACAAAGAUGGCACAAGAGAAAGCUGGACUACCCACCCUGCUUAGCCAUCCCAUAUGAUCCCACAUACUGACUCUCAGGGAAGACAAGGCUCCUGAAAACACAGGUAAAAGCUGACUUUAUCAUCCACACCCCAGUACCAAGUAUUGUUUAACCAAAGUGACAUAAGACACAGAAUGAAAGACAAGAAACCACAUUAUCAGUGGACUUAACUUUUAUUGAGGGGAAAAAAGGUUUACAUGUAGCUAUAGGUUUUUCUAUCUAUACUUCCAAAAGUUCAAAAAGGACUGGAAACAAAACUUGCUCCAUCAUUAUUUUAAUACCAAAAAGUUGGCCAUUUUUUAUUUCAUGAACAGCAAAUUAUAUAACUAAUUGCUAUGUUCAAUAAAUAUUUUUUUCUCCUGCACCAAUUAAGGGGAAAUAAUUAAUGAAGUACCACAAAGACUCCAGAAAUUUUACAAUUUUAAUUUCAACUGUUAUCCACUGUGUAGCAAUCCAGAAGCUUUUUUCUAUAAAACACAUAGCCUUAAUUUUGAGUGUACAAGGAUCUAUUCUCCCAGUCAGUCAAAUACCAAACUCUGAUCUAGCUCAAAUAGUCUACUUUCAAAGCAACUACUUGACAAAAAAAAAAAUUUAAAAAAUCCUCUGGUUCAUGACUAUCUAAGCAAAUUCAUCAUUACAGAAAAGACUCAAAGUCAUUACUUGUUUAUCAAAGUAACAGGUAAACAUUUUAACAGAAAGAUUAACAAGUUACUUGGAAAUGCAGGUUUAUGUUAAAGUAUCCGAGUGUGUAUACUACAUAUGACAUGCAAGCUUUAAAAAUAUCAAUGUUCUCUUCUGAUUAGUCAGGAGUCCAACUGUUUUAGAAAUAAAAUAGGAAUGACUUCCAAAAUGUAUCAGCACUUUGGGGUUCUCUAUUUUUUUGCUCAAGAUGUUUUACUACACAAAAACUACAACAAUUACAAUAUUUAAGAGUAUUACAAUAAGAAGGGAUGGAAAAUGGGAAUACUUCAACUGAAAAUAUGUAUAUCCUAAAUGAACCAAAGACUCGUGAAAGAGCUGGAAGAAGGACAAGAAAGGGAAAAUGGAAGGGAAAGCAGUAGGGAUGCUAAAGAUCUGAAC